UAUUUCCAAGCACUAUACAAGUUGAUGAUUUAUUAAUCACUAAGCUAUAGCAUUAGCACCCCCAUAAGCCUUUUGCCCAUCUACAAGACUACUACAACUGCCUACCACUGUUCUAUUACUUCAUUCCAUUCCAUUUCCAUAUGUUGAGUUGCAUUCAAAUGGGAUUUGGUAGAUUUUCCUGAUUGGAAUAGGUCCAUUAAUAUCCUUCUAACUUUUUCUGGCAUUUGUUGUUGGUCCCAACCUUUCAAUCCGAAUACUGGGCAGAAGGACCAUCCCUACAAAACUUGAGGGUCUACAUGUAACAACUAGAUCGAUAGAUUCCUCAAUCUUCAUCUACUUAAUUUGACAUAGCAAUUACAUAUGUUCAAGCAUUAUGGUGAACAGUGCUGUUGGAACCUUUAUCUUUGCAAAUUUAGUUGAACACCAGAAACAGUAGCUCCAUAAAUGUAUACUUGAAUUUCAGUUGAUUUAGGAGCCGUUUUUUGUGCAGCUAAUUACAGGUAUAAUUGAGCUAGGUCAAGGCUAGAUUGGCUAUUUAGCUGACUGCAGCAAAAGGAUAGCUACAACACUAUAUAAUCCCUCAGCAUCAACAGAAUGAGAAACUGGUGACAGAG
rnacentral:misc_RNA from 1 species